AACAUACAACAGCUUGCAAUAUAUGAAAGGUGAAAACGUUAAGGAAGCAAUACCUCUCCUUGGUCUUCGAAUCGAAUUUAGUGAAAAAAAAUUCAGUUUGGCAUCAAUGACGACACAAUUUCUGUCCAAUCCAAAGUUGACAACUAGUUAAUUGAAGAAGAUGACUUCCGUGGCAAACGAGUUUUAAGCAGGGUAAUACUAUAGUUAAAUUUUAUAUUUCUUUAUUUGUAUUUCUCAUAAACAAAAUAAAAUUUAUUAAAAAUAAAAAA